AACGAACGCUGGCGGCAUGCCUAACACAUGCAAGUCGAACGGGAUCCUAGCUUGCUAGGUGAGAGUGGCGGACGGGUGAGUAACACGUGGGAAUCUGCCUUUUUGGUUCGGGAUAACCGCGGGAAACUGCGGCUAAUACCGAAUGCCCUCGAGAGAGGAAAGAUUUAUCGCCAGAAGAGGAGCCCGCGUCCGAUUAGGUAGUUGGUGGGGUAAAGGCCUACCAAGCCGACGAUCGGUAGCUGGUCUGAGAGGAUGAUCAGCCACACUGGGACUGAGAUACGGCCCAGACUCCUACGGGAGGCAGCAGUGGGGAAUAUUGGACAAUGGGGGCAACCCUGAUCCAGCAAUGCCGCGUGAGUGAUGAAGGCCUUAGGGUUGUAAAGCUCUUUUGCCAGGGAGAUGAUGACUGUACCUGGAGAAUAAGCCCCGGCUAACUUCGUGCCAGCAGCCGCGGUAAU
rnacentral:rRNA from 1 species